rnacentral:rRNA from 1 species
CAAUAGCGUAUAUUAAAGUUGUUGCGGUUAAAAAGCUCGUAGUUGGAUUUCUGUUGAGAACGUCCGGUCCGCACUAUGUGCGUGUAUCUGGUUCGGUCUUGGCAUCCUCUUGAGGAACGUAUCUGCGCUUGAUUGCGUGGAGCGGUAUUCAAGACUUUUACUUUGAGGACAUUAGAGUGUUCACGGCAGGCAAGCGCCUUGAAUACGUUAGCAUGGAAUAAUAAUAUAGGAUCUUGGUUCUAUUUUGUUGGUUUCUAGGGCUAAGGUAAUGAUUAAUAGGGAUAAUUGGGGGCAUUUGUAUUAACGCGUCAGAGGUGGAAUUCUUGGAUUGCGUUACGACAAACUACUGCGAAAGCAUUUGCCAAGGAUGUUUUCAUUGA